UACAGAGGGUGCGAGCGUUGUCCGGAAUCAUUGGGCGUAAAGCGCGCGUAGGCGGUUACUUAUGUCGGAUGUGAAAGCCCUCGGCUUAACUGAGGAAGUGCAUUCGAAACUGGGUAGCUAGAGUACUAAAGAGGGUCGCGGAAUUCCCGGUGUAGAGGUGAAAUUCGUAGAUAUCGGGAGGAACACCGGUGGCGAAGGCGGCGACCUGGGUAGAUACUGACGCUGAGGCGCGAAAGCGUGGGGAGCAAACAGG
rnacentral:rRNA from 1 species